rnacentral:tRNA from 1 species
GUCUUUCUAGUAUUAGACAGUAUAAGUGACUUCCAAUCACCCGGUCUUGGUUAAAGUCCAAGGAAAGAUA